rnacentral:rRNA from 1 species
UACGUAGGUGGCAAGCGUUGUCCGGUUUUAUUGGGUUUAAAGGGUGCGUAGGCGGCUUUGUAUGUCAGUGGUGAAAUAUGGCAGCUCAACUGUCAAGGUGCCAUUGAUACUGCGGAGCUUGAGUACAGAUGAGGUAGGCGGAAUUGACGGUGUAGCGGUGAAAUGCUUAGAUAUCGUCAAGAACACCUAUAGCGAAGGCAGCUUACUAGGCUGUAACUGACGCUGAGGCACGAAAGUGUGGGGAUCAAACAGG